rnacentral:pre_miRNA from 1 species
AGGUUCUGUGUUGGGCGUCUGUCUGCCCGCAUGCCUGCCUCUUUGUUGCUCGGAAGGAGGCAGGGGCUGGGCCUGCAGCUGCCUGGGCAGAGCGG